rnacentral:rRNA from 1 species
GAUGAACGCUGACAGAAUGCUUAACACAUGCAAGUCAACUUGAAUUUGGGUUUUUAACUUAGGUUUGGGUGGCGGACGGGUGAGUAACGCGUAAAGAACUUGCCUCACAGCUAGGGACAACAUUUGGAAACGAAUGCUAAUACCUAAUAUUAUGAUAAUAGGGCAUCCUAUAAUUAUGAAAGCUAUAGGCGCUGUGAGAGAGCUUUGCGUCCCAUUAGCUAGUUGGAGAGGUAACGGCUCGCCAAGGCGAUGAUGGGUAGCCGGCCUGAGAGGGUGAUCGGCCACGAGGGGACUUAGACACGGCCCUUACUCCUACGGGAGGCAGCAGUGGGGAAUAUUGGACAAUGGACCAAGAGUCUGAUCCAGCAAUUCUGUGUGCACGAUGAAGUUUUUCGGAAUGUAAAGUGCUUUCAGUUGGGAAGAAAGAAAUGACGGUACCAACAGAAGAAGUGACGGCUAAAUACGUG